GCAAAAAAGCGAUAGUUCAUGAAUUUUUCAUCUGACACAGCGUAUUAUUCGUUCAAUACUUACCCGAUUAAUUGCAAAAUAUCUACUCAAUUUUUAUUCAUAGGUAUACAAGGAAAAUACGUAGAUUAAAUACGUUUGUUUGUGUACAGUAAAAUACAAUUUUUAACCGACAAUUAAAAAGUUGCUUUGAUGAGCGGACUUUCAGGACAUAACAAAAAUAUGUGAAAUGAAUGAACCUGCCUUUAUUUCUAAACAUACAUAAAUACUGAGCCAUGAAGUUGUAACAAAAUUAGUAUCACUGCCAAUUUGUUUAUUUGGGCUACCUACAAGAAGGGG
rnacentral:lncRNA from 1 species